UAUGGCUCCAAGUAUUAUUUGGCAUCCUUCUGCAGGCAGAGAAGAAAUGGCCUCUGCAGAAAAGCUUGUGGAAUUUGUGAUAAAAAACUGCCGCAACAUCUUUGGAGGACACGUCACUGCCCUGUUUGGAGAGUCAUCCAGAAUAUAAAAUACUCAAGAAAAACCCUCAGAUACAUCUAGCAUUCCAGAGAGCAAUGCUUCCUCAUAUGAGAGCUUGAAGAAAAAAGCGACUGUGCUGCUGGCCACAGUGUGAUGAAUCAAAGAAAAUGCGUCCAAUUGAAGGGAAGCAUUGACUCGCUUAUAAUGUCUCUGGACUCUGGCCUUGAUGCCCUUGAAUUCUAAAUGAGCUUCAGAGCCUCCUGUAUGACUUUUAGUUCAGGUGGACCAGCCUCCUAAAGACAAGCCGAUGGAUGUAACAAUGUGCAGAGAUAUUCCACCACAGAA